rnacentral:rRNA from 1 species
CUGUGCCUACGGGGGGCAGCAGUGGGGAAUAUUGCACAAUGGGGGAAACCCUGAUGCAGCAACGCCGCGUGAGUGAAGAAGGGUUUCGGAUUGUAAAGCUCUGUUAGCAGGGAAGAGGAAGGACGGUACCUGCAGAGGAAGCCACGGCUAACUACGUGCCAGAAGCCGCGGUAAUACGUAGGUGGCAAGCGUUGUUCGGAAUAACUGGGCGUAAAGGAUGCGUAGGCGGUUAAACAAGAUAUAUGUUAAAUAUAUAGGCUUAACCU